rnacentral:lncRNA from 1 species
AUGACUGCCAGCACUGUGAGCAGCAGGGCUGUCUCCAGCCGUCGACAGGACCAAACAGUAUCUCGGAAGCAUCAGCGAACACGUGUGGACAGAAGGUGCAGCACCCCCGUGAACCGGCCUCGCCCCACCACGGCCUCUCCUUCCAGCAGUCCCUCGGCUCCCCCCAGCCCUGCUCCACGGUGCCCGCCCCCAGCCCAAGGUGCUCACGACUGCCCACAAGAACCCAAACUCAGCCAUCGGAAGGCUGGGCCGCGGGGCUCCGGAGCCUCCAGAGAUGACUCUGCCCCACAGGAUGCCGGCUUCAUCUUCCACAGCCCGCAGGCAGUUCCAGGCACCCCUUCUUGCUGGCAAAAUGGGAGUUCACAGGCCAGAGGAGCCAUCAGUCCUAACACAGCACAAAGAAGGAAACACGACCAUGAGAGAACGGAGAAGGGCCACCCUAGGCAGCCAGCCAAAGGGGCAAGAGGUAAAAAGAGUGGAAGUGGCGCGCCGUCGAGAUUCCCCAAAAGGUGA